rnacentral:rRNA from 1 species
GACGAACGCUGGCGGUGUGCUUAACACAUGCAAGUCGAACGGUAAGGCCCUUUCGGGGGUACACGAGUGGCGAACGGGUGAGUAACACGUGAGUAACCUGCCCUCAUCUCUGGGAUAACAGUCUGAAACGGUUGCUAAUACUGGCUAUGAGCUUGCAAGGCAUCUUGUGGGUUGGAAAGAUUUUUUUUGGUUGGGGAUGGACUCGCGGCCUAUCAGCUUGUUGGUGAGGUAGUGGCUCACCAAGGCUUCGACGGGUAGCCGGCCUGAGAGGGCGACCGGCCACAUUGGGACUGAGAUACGGCCCAAACUCCUACGGGAGGCAGCAGUGGGGAAUAUUGCACAAUGGACGGAAGUCUGAUGCAGCAACGCCGCGUGCGGGAUGACGGCCUUCGGGUUGUAAACAGCUUUCAAUUGUGACGAAGCUUUUUUGUGACGGUAGCAGUAGAAGAAGCACCGGCUAACUACGUG